UAUUAUAAUAUUUAUUAAGAGAAAAUAUUUUAAAUUAUUACAUACAUGGAACCAGUUAAAAUUAAAAAGUUAAUAUGUUUUACCUUUUGUAUAAUGGUUAUACUAUAAAUUUAUUAUAUUAUAAUUCCCGAAGCAAGAAGAGCUAUUUAUUGACUUGUCUUAGAAAGAGUAAAGCUAUGUUGAAAUAUGGCUUGGAGAUUAAUAAAUAGGAGUGAAAAACUUUCAAUUCUUGGGAUAUCUGGUAGUUUCAGAAAAGCAUACAGUGCUGUAAUAAGUUAAAUGUGAAGUGAUGAGAUUUCACAUUUUUAGAAUUUUGAUUAGUUUCUAGUUUUUUAUAGGUUAAUCCUACUGAAAUUUUAGGUUUAAAACAUUAAUUUUCUAUUAUAUCUAAUAAAUAUGAAGCUUUUCUAUAUAAUAGGCUAUAGAAAUAAUAAUGUGUAAAUGAGUAGUAUAAUAAUAUAAGAUUUAUAUAGUUUGAAUAUAAUAGUAACUGUAUACUUAUUUUUAAAAUUAGUUAGAAGGAAUUCGGCAACUAUAAACUUCGACUGUUUAACAAAAACAUAGCCUUAAGGUAAUUAUUUAAGGUCAGACCUGCCCAGUGUAAAUUAUUGUAUAAAUGGCCGCGGUACUUUGACCGUGCUAAGGUAGCGCAAUUAAUUGGUUUUUAAAUGGAGCCAGGUAUGAAUGGAGUUACGGGGUUUUUCUGUCUCCUAACUAUUUUAUCAAAAUUACUAUGUAAGUGAAAAAGCUUACAAUUAGAAAAAGGACGAGAAGACCCUUAGAGUUUUUCUUAAUUUGAAAAAAAUUUUCGAAGCAGUUUGGUUGGGGCAACAUGGGAACAUUUUAAUUUCCUAAAAAUAAUAUAUCGAGUAUUUUAGAAUUGAAUAAACUACCUUAGGGAUAACAGCAUAAUUUUAUAAUUAAGUUUGUGACCUCGAUGUUGGACUGGGAAACUUAAAGGUUAGCCGCCUUUCAGGUGAGUUCUGUUCGAACUAUUAUUCCCACGUGAUC
rnacentral:rRNA from 1 species